rnacentral:rRNA from 1 species
GACGAACGCUGGCGGCGUGCUUAACACAUGCAAGUCGAACGGAGUGGCGAACGGGUGAGUAACACGUGGGUGACCUGCCCUGCACUUCGGGAUAAGCAUGGGAAACUGGGUCUAAUACCGGCUAGUGGGGGAUGGGCCGGCGGCCUAUCAGCUUGUUGGUGGGGUAAUGGCCUACCAAGGCGGCGACGGGUCGCCGGCCUGAGAGGGGGGACGGCCACAUUGGGACUGAGAAACGGCCCAGAAUCCUACGGGGGGCAGCAGUGGGGAAUAUUGCACAAUGGGCGGAAGCCUGAUGCAGCGACCCCGCGUGGGGGAUGACGGCCUUCGGGUUGUAAACUCCUUUCACCAUCGACGCGGUAGAUGGAGAAGAAGCACCGGCUAACUACGUGCCAGCCGCCGCGGUAAUUC